UACAGAGACUGCAAGCGUUUAUUCGGAUUCACUGGGCGUAAAGGGUGCGCAGGCGGCCGUGUGUGUCAGGUGUGAAAGCCCGGAGCUUAACUCCGGAAUUGCGCCUGAAACUACAUGGCUAGAGCAUUGGAGAGGGUAGCGGAAUUCACGGUGGUAGCAGUGAAAUGCGUAGAUAUCGUGAGGAACACCAGAGGCGAAGGCGGCUACCUGGACAAUUGCUGACGCUCAGGCACGAAAGCGUGGGGAGCAAAAGGG
rnacentral:rRNA from 1 species